GAUUACUUUUAGAACAUUGAUGUAGGCACUGUUAUCAAAAUGCGAACCCACCUUCAAGCCUGCUAUCCCGUUCACAUGUUGAACUAAAUACCUCCUACCAUUUUAUUAAAUGAAGCUGUUUCAACCCACGUCCCACAGCUGGAGCUGCUUGUAAUCUCUGAGUUCCGCAGGGCAGUCGGACGUACGCAGGCGCACCACGAGCAGGGCUGGGGUGAUGAAGAGCCCGCCGCCCAAGCACGAGUUACCUGGGUCUGCGCCCGCCAUCCAAGCACGUGGACCUGGGUCUGCAUCUCCAGCACCCACGUCAACGCCAAGUGCGGUAAUUGCCUGCCUUUUCGGAGCUUGUUUCUCUAGUGAUUCUGUCGCCUCCGCCUCCGGGUUGUCACACAGCACCAGUCGCCCUCAGGAGCUGCCGCUCUUAAGCGAGACAGAAAGAACAGCUCAAUUACCUUCAUCCAACGUCAAGUGUGAAAUAUACUUCUCCUGCCUGCAUGUUUGUGCACCAUAUACAUUCCUGCUGCCUGCGGAGGCCAGAAGAGAACACUGAAUCUCCUGGACUUACAAAUGGUUGUGAGACACCACAUUGAUUGUUGGGAAGUAAACCUAGGGCCUCUGCAAGAACAGCCAGUGCACGCCGGGCCAGAAGAGGGUGUUGAAUCCCCUGGAGCUAGACUUCAAAGGUGAUGAGAGCCAUUUGACACGAGUGCUAAAAACGGAACCUGGGACCUGUGAAACAGCAGCAAGCGCUCUUAACCACUCAGCAGUCCUCCAGCCCCUCUCCUCACCAUUCUGCAUGGCCUUGCGACUUCCUAGCGCUUCUGUGUUCCUCAGUUUUUGCCCACCUGACCCAAGCUAGACAAACACCCUUACCCACUUCAGAUUGCCUUCAUUGCUCUCCACCAUCAGGAGUGUUUCCAGUCUCGGUCUUCAGGUCCCCAAGCCAUAACCUGCACAUGCCUUGGCCACACAAAGUCCGUAAGGAAUAGCCGGAUGAUGGAGUCUUCUAAAACCUUUGCGAAUGCUCUGGAUUAUUCUGCUACCACCUCUCUGUUCAUCUUGCAUUUCCUGACAUGCUGACUUACCAUCAUCCUGUCUGGCUUCCUCAAAACAAAACAAACAAACAACAACAACAAAAAACGAUGAGCCGGCGCCUUCACCUCACCCCGUCCUUGGCGGGUGCAUAUGAAGCCUAAGCUUGUCUCUCCGUGGUGCUUUCUUCUCAGGAAAUGAUGCCACCUGCCUUUGGAGGCUCACAAGUUGAGCAAGGUUCUUCCCAGGCAGCCGGGCAGCCUCUCCUGACCCUGCGCAGGUCUGAAAUGUGGCCAAGGCCUGGCUGUGGAUCACUCUCAUUCAGCGUCCUACCUGCAUCGGUCCCAGCUGCCACCCUCCACCCCGUCUCCAGGUUCCCCAUGGGCUCCCUCCCAGAUUUCUUCUUGUGUCUACUCUGCAUUCACUCAGCAGGAAGAAGGGACGUAAUCCCACCUACAGCUGCGUGGGCGCCACGAGGGCCGGCUGGUCACACCCAACUGCGUCAUUUCAUCUGCUCCUCUCCCCAGAAUUCAAGCUACCUUCUCCCUUCAAUGCUCUUCCCAGAGAACUGGCUGUUUUGUAUUGUGCAGUUUUGUUUUGUUUGCUUGUUUGUUUUUUAGACAGUGCCCUUCUGUGUAGCUCUGGCCGGCCUGGAACUCAAUAUGUAGAGCAGGCUGGCCUCAAAGUCCACAGAGAUCUGAUGGGUGGAUGUCCUUCCGUAUUAUAUAUGUUUCUCUUAAUGGUUGAUAAAUAAAAACACUGAUUGUCCAGUAGCCAGGCAGGAAUUAUGGGGGGGGGGCUAUCAGAUGAGGAAGAUUCUGGGGAGAGGACACAGGGAGAAGCCACCAGGGAGACGCCAUGCAGUGGUUGGGAAGAUAGGACACCGGGCAUUCUCCAGCAAGAUAAGGCCAUGUAGAAAUACAUAGAUUAGUAGUUAUGGGUUAAUAAUUAAGAGAGCGCUAGCCAAUAAGAAGCCUGA